AAAUUGAAGAGUUUGAUCAUGGCUCAGAUUGAACGCUGGCGGCAGGCCUAACACAUGCAAGUCGAACGGUAACAGGAAGCAGCUUGCUGCUUUGCUGACGAGUGGCGGACGGGUGAGUAAUGUCUGGGAAACUGCCUGAUGGAGGGGGAUAACUACUGGAAACGGUAGCUAAUACCGCAUAACGUCGCAAGACCAAAGAGGGGGACCUUCGGGCCUCUUGCCAUCGGAUGUGCCCAGAUGGGAUUAGCUAGUAGGUGGGGUAACGGCUCACCUAGGCGACGAUCCCUAGCUGGUCUGAGAGGAUGACCAGCCACACUGGAACUGAGACACGGUCCAGACUCCUACGGGAGGCAGCAGUGGGGAAUAUUGCACAAUGGGCGCAAGCCUGAUGCAGCCAUGCCGCGUGUAUGAAGAAGGCCUUCGGGUUGUAAAGUACUUUCAGCGGGGAGGAAGGGAGUAAAGUUAAUACCUUUG
rnacentral:rRNA from 1 species